CAAAUGGAGGUCACUGCCCCUGGCAGCUAAAAAACUAUUGCUCUGUGAGGCUACAGUGUUAUUGUUACUUUGAAUUACUCCUCUUUCAAUUCAGCCCCCUGCUAUUCAUCUGCAGCCAGCAGGUUAGUCCUGUUAAAGUGCACCGUGAGGUGAAAGCCCUGCAUUCAAUAGAUUUACGGGGAGAAUACCCCCUAUCGGUAUAAACGUACGCGGAAGAGAGCAGAGGGCUCAUUGCAAGCCUUGGUUCCAUUCUCAGCAUCUGCACCCUUGCUUAAGUCUUAGUGAAUGGUUUCACAGCAUUACUACUAAUUCUGACCUGCCACUGGUUACACUGAAGCCAUUGCAAAGCCCAGGGGGCUGAAAAUGGAGAAUCAUCACUUUAAUUAUCCGUUUUUUCCUGACAUAUUUAUCCCACAAUUGGCAAGAGAAGCUGUUAAGUGUUGGGAAAUAUGGGAAAUAUGAGAAGGAAGUAGCCAAGGAAGGAAGAAAGCCACAGUUUUUUGUAUUCCCAAAUUACUUUUCAAAAUGUGAAGAUUUGUUUAAAAUAUGGAAUUAAGCUGUGUUAUAUCUGAUUUUUAAAUGUACAUACCUUUUUUGCAUUAGUUUUGAACAGUCAUUUUCAAUUAAAAACAUAACUUAAAGGGGAUAUUUACUUUUACAAGUACACUCAUGUAGCAAUUAUUGAUCCUUUAUUAAUAAGGAAACAUAGUACUUAUGGGACCUUUGGGUGAAACACAAAUGCAGAGCUCUGCAGCGGGUAAGAUUCUUCUGUAUGGACAGCACAGUAGUUAUGCACUAGUGCAAUCCGCAUUCAUUCACUUGCACAGGAUUGAUCCUUCUGGCUACUGGCAAUGACAGAGGGACCAGCAGUAGCGCCUAAAAUCAGCAAGUAAAUUACAGUAAAUUAUAUAUAUAUAUGCCUAGGGUGGCACAAAAUGUAUCCCUGAACAGCAGGAAAGUCUUCUAUACCACAAGAAGUUUUUGCAUGCACAUGUAUGUAAUAUUCACAGACUGUAUAAUAUAAUGAAACAAUCCUUCUGGUGCUAUAAUUAGUACAUGACAAGGUCAGUGCCAAUGUAAUGCCCUCUUUAAAACCAUUACCUUUACUACUAUUCGGUUAAAAUCUCUUAUGCUAAACAUAAUUCAGACUCAAGCCUGUGUUGGGUUAAAAAAGGCAGCUCAUUUAUUUACAAAUAGUUAACCUUCAGAGCUUUGUAAACAACCUACUUUAACAGUAACAUGUUAACAUUUUUAAAAAACGUAACAACAAGGAGCUACUGAAUGCUGCAUUUGUGAGAGUCAUUCCUUCCCUGAGGCUAAAUAUGGCCCCAAUCCUUAGCCUCAGACUUACCAUUUGUACUCCAUUAAUCCUGCCCCAGCUACAAAUGUCCUGGCUGUGACUCCUGCAACCUCCUACCAAACUAUCCUACCUAACAAAUCCCAAUUAACCCAUUAAAAAGGGUUCGACUAUGUUUAAUUUGAAUUUUUGCAUCUACCCUCCCCCUCAAAUAAUCAGACAUCAGAACUACUAGGCCUUUCCAAACCUUGUGAUGGCCCCAAACCCUCAACCUGUACCAUGCUUGGUCUCUGGGACCCCUUUAAUUUUAAUGCAACUAUUGCCAUCAUCAUCAUUCAUAAAUGAAAUGACAACAAUUCAUGCAGCACUUUCUCAUAAUAAUAUAAGCAAGAGAUAAAUUGACAACAAAAAGUUGCUGAAUAAGGCAGGGGAGUGGUGGAGAUGCUAACAAGAGUUUACACUUUAAAUGCUAUACAGACAUAAUACAGUAAAUAACUCAUCCCUUGACAAAUGUGUUCUGUGGAGCAUUUUUUACUAGUCACAUUCCCGGUUAUUUGUAUGCAGAA